AGUAUAGUGCCUGAUAAAAAGGACAGUUUUGAUAGAACUGCUCAUGUAGCUCUUCUACCUAUACUA
rnacentral:tRNA from 1 species